UUUGAGAGAAGAAUCUAUCACCAAAUUGACUCAGGUCUAUCUUCGAACCUUAAAGUCAUGUAUUACUCUCUGAUCCAUUUACUAUUCUUUGCUAUUUUUGGUGCUUACAACUUUACGUAUGUUUAUCUUCUUCUUUAAUUUCUUUGUUUUGUUGACUUGUUACUGAUACGUAAUGUACUUUUGGGCUGAGCUUCAUAGUGCUUUGAAUAAGUUGAUAAAAAAGACCCUUUUUUGGGCUAGAGCAUAGGGUAGAAAUUCUGCGUAUAUAUGGGCGAUGUUAACAAUUUCUUUUCAAGAUCACUGUUUUUUGAGUUAUCUCUUUCCCGUCAAACUAAUUGAUAGAAUGAGGUGGUUGAGUUUCUGACUUCAAAGAAUUUGUUAUUGCUCUUGUGAAAUUUUCAUGGAUGAGUGUCUUUGAUGUUUCACUGAACAUAUAGGGUUCUAUUGUAGCUAUUGAAUGAAUUAUGAAACUAUGUUAUAUAGAGAACAAAAGUUCUACUACUAUUCAUGGAAUUGAGGUAUAAUUACUUUAUGAUUCAAUUGUUAAUAGUCAUAAAGAAUGAGACGAAGGAAGAUUCAUAAACUUUCACAAACAUAGAUACUUUGCCUCACAUACCUUUACUUUGGCCUUUUUAAGCGUAUCACAAUGUUUGUUACCUCUUUCACCAAUACACUAUGACAAUAUAUAUCAAGAGGAACCAAUAUUAGCAAUAAUGCUCAUGUUUUAGUCAUUUAAAUAUAUUAUCAAACACUUGGUGGGCAUAAAGCAUCAUAGCCUUUAUUAAUGGUGUUUCUACACCCAACAACCCAUCCUCACUCCUAGAUAAUUCUAAAAUCUCAAAUUGUUAUAAUCAAUAUCAUUCUUAAUCACCCAUGAGAUAAAUAACACCCUUAAUCAAUAAUAUAAUGUAUGAAAGAAGACAAACACUAGGUGUAGCUUCUUCCUAAUAGGUUAGUUGGACUUUUUCUUCCUAUGUUGUACAGUAUUUAUUUUGUUAAGCAUGUUCUCACUAUAGUUUCUGUCUUACUUCUAUUCAUUUGAUUUUGUUUGCCUUAUAAAAAAAAUAAUUUGAUUUUGCUUACUGUUAGAAGGGAAGCGUUGGAGCAAUGCUAAGUUGUCUGAACUAUAGGCCAUGACCGUGAAAUCAGCUACUAAUGCUUGAUUUUCAGGGUAGGCUGCGUGAAUGCGGGAUGCUUUAUGCACGGCGCUGCGAUUUUUUCUUGUUCGUCAUAGCUUGUUAUAGAUUUACCUUCUUUGUUCCAGUUACUUGUAAUAUCAUAGCUUACUAGAUUUCAGUUUGAUGGUUUCUUUUAUGAAAAUUUUCUUUUCUUCCACAGGGAUGGAUUUUAUCAUCAAGGUGUGGUGGGUUCAUGAAAUCUUAUUUCAGUAAAUCGGAGAAGUUGACUAGCGCCUUUCUAAAGCAGAAUCAAUGGUACGAAAUGCCUACUCAUCAUCAGAACUAAGAGACACUUAAUCUAAGAUAUGAGAACGAUAUAUUUUCGCCCUCAUGUUUGUAUGAGAAAGCUAUUAUUUAUACCCCCUUAUUUAGACGCACACUACCUUAGUUGGCUUUAGAUGACAGACCUGUAAGACUGUGCCUACCGUUCCUUUCUGUUCAUGAACCCCUCAUAGAUGAUAUAUCUAGUAUCAUAGGUAGAGUGAUAUCUCCAGUUUGCCCAUCCUGGCAUUGUGUUUGUUAUGGGACUUGAGCUUAUCUGUGCACCACAACUGGGACCCUUGUCUUCAUGCAAUCAGGCUAUUCUUUGCUACUAAAGUGGCACCUUGUCUCUUGGUCUAUCUCGUCCUCCCUCUCCUAACCUGUCCGUAGUUGCAUAUUUGGACGCUUACUGGCAUAUCAACCCGAUACCUGUUGCUCUACUAUGGUUAUGCUGUUUUUCUUGGUUCUGACAUUGUCGCCUUGAGUGCAAGAAACAACCUGCUGGUACUAAACCCAGUGCAUAUUGACAACUCCAAUCCAUCAAUUACAUUGACAAAGCAUAUUCAGAUAAGAGAUAUAGAUUAGUAUUAAGUCAUACCUAUGAAAUGGAUCUAAUCGAUCAAAUGUAAAUUUCAAAGUAGAUACAUAUAUGAGUAAAAUUUUCUUUGUGCAACGUAUAGCCUGAUCGUUCUGUUUCUUUUCUACUUAUUCUUUUGAUUUUAUGAUUGUAGCUGCAGAAUUGUUCAUGUAUCAUGUAUUCUGGUAGGGCUAAUUGUACUUCCCACAUUUUUGCUUUGUCAAGUUUUGCAUCAGCUCUAUUUUGGAAGCAUGUCACGGUAUUGCUUUUCGGACCAGCUAGUAAAUCUAUUGGGAGAAAAGCAGUUAAACUUGCUGAAUAAUGCCACCAAACUCUUAGGUCAUUCAUAUCAAACUGAUAUUGUGUUGAGUAAAGUGGCAUUAAUGCCUAUAGCGCUGAUAUGUUCGAGAGAGCACUCUGUCACUUUGGCUGCCUAUCUGAUGCAAAAUCCUUGUGAUAGUGGCUCCAACAACCUGCAUUUCAAUCCCCAUUUUUUUUGUUGAAUUCCCUUGAGAAGGCAGGAAGAAGAUAAAGGAUAUAUGAAACCUUCUUGACUAGGAUUUAGGUCUAAUGCUUCCAAUAAUCUUAAGAACAAAUUCAGGGAGAUUAUGAAUCAAUUUGGUCAAAUCUGUGGUGGUCUCCAUAGCUAGUUGACUAUGAACCAAAUAGAAACAGAGAUCAUUCACAAUAUUAUAUAGUCCUAAUAAAUUAUCGUUGUGUAAGAAUGAUGUAUAAGAAGAAUAAGGAAGCAAUACUUUUUUCCAAAUGUAGACAAGUAGCUUCUUACCCUUUAAUAUUGAUUUAGGAGUCAUAGAGUUUUCUCAUUCACUCAUUUGUUUGAUCAUUUCACUAAUCAUGCAAUGGAAGUAUGUAAAUUAUCUGCUAUUACUUAUAUCUGCUUCUCCUCUAGUUUAAGGAGAAUCAUUUCAAUGAUAUUUUGAGCUAUUUUCUGAUAAAACUUAACCUGACAUCAGAUUUAGACAAUGCUGCAGGAUUCUUUCUAGAUGCUGAAAGUCAUAGGCAUAACCUGUUAAAUUUGGACUCCAUUCAGGUAUUGGCAUAACCUGUUAAAUUUGGACUCCAUUCAGGUAUUUGAAUUAUAGUCCUACUGCACAGUUUAUGGCAAUAUUACAUUAAAAUGGUAUAAAUAAUAUUAGAAUAUGUAUGCUAUGAAUUGCACCAAAAUUGAAGUAAAAAAUCAAGUUUCAAUAGAUGAAUCAUUAUUUUACGUUACAGAUAUAUCCUGAGUUAUUUAGUGCCUACACCACAUAAGAUUAUUGAAACAUGUUUUGAAUAAUAAGAGAUAAACUAAAGAAUAUAAAUAACAUGUUUUGAAUAACCAUUUUAUACUUGUGCUAAGCAUGAUGUUAGCGUUAAUUCAUUAGUAUGCAAUGAUUGGGAUUAGCAAUUUUGGAGAUGUCAUGCAAAUAAAGUGGUAACACCAUUCAUUCAUUUGUAUUUUCGGAAACACUACCCUAAUUAAUCUGUUUACCAUGGUGUGUGAAGCAAUACAGUGCAAUGUCAAUUAUCUACUUCUAUCAAGUAAAGGAAAAAGAGAAAGGAAGUAACAAAUAUACAAUUAUUUAUCAGCUUUAUCUUUUUGAAGGGAAUCAUUUUCCCAUUUUAUAUCACAAAGAAAGAAAGGAUAUUUUUCCUCCCCAAACACAACAUAUCUUUAACAGGAAAAUGACAAAAUGAGCAUGAAAAAAUAAAAAGUGAUAAUAUGGAUACCACAAAAUAUGUAGUCACACUAUAACAAGACAAAAAAUCCCAUAAUUAAAAUAGCAGAACCUGCGAAGCUUCACUCUAAUACAGAUCGAAAACUCAUAGGCAAUUCUUACAUUAUAUCAACAAAUUGUUUAUAAUGGACAAUCCCAUAUAAAGAUAAAGAAUAAGUACAUCACUGGAUUGUAAACCGAAGAUGGGUAACUGAUGUCAUGACUUUUGUGAUUUGUUUAUUUAGAGCAUUUAGAUAAGAGGAAAAACUGCUAAAACUUCAGAAAAUUGAUCAAUAGAAUUAGAGGUUAUGAUGGCCAAUCACCUAUGAAGGAUAUUUUGUAAUUCAAAUUUUACACGUCUGUUGUAUUUCACGCCAAUCAGUGUAAUAAAGUCUGCGUACACAAUACCCUCCCCAGACCCCACGGUGUGGGAUAAUACUGGGUAUGUUGUUGUAAAAUAUAUGUGAGGUAUAAACAUUAUUUAAAGAAAGAUUUGUAGUGUAUUCUAAAAACAAUUGUAUUAGUUAUAAAAUAAAAAUAGAAGUGUAAGAAAAAGUAAGUUUCAUGCACAUCUCAUGAAUAUUUUUCUUAUACAUAUCUUUCGCAUAAAUAGUAGUUUCUGUUUCGCUGUUCUAAUACUCUCAAAUAAUCUGCAUAUGAUAUCGAAAUCAGAUCCAUCCACAAUUUGUUCAAAAUCAUGCACCAAUAUUACCAUUUACCGACAGAAUCUUCCAAAAUUGCAGCAACGUACUACAUCAAAAGUCAUCAUCUUGAACUUGAGAUUCAAUGUUACAGUUUUUACAUGUUUUUCCCCAUCUCUAGUGAAUGCUACUUAUGCUGCACACAAAGAGCAAACUCCUUCCGGAAAAAAUGCAAUAAGAAAUGUUGUAGCCUCCAUUUGUAGGGCCAAGAAUUUACAGUAUACCUACUGGGAUUGAGACAAAUUUUUUAUGUGUCUUUUUUUUUUGCUUUUGUUCCGACUACUCUCUCAAUCAUCUAAUCGUCUGGUCUCACACAGAAAAUGAAAAGUCAGAAUUAUUUUGAAUAAAGAGGUUAAAAAAUAUAAUGCUCAAGCUAACAUGAGAACUCACACAUAAGAUCCAAGAAAUAAAUUUUUGUUUUCUUCUAGAUGAACUCAUAAUUGCAGAUAUGAUCAUACAGAAGCAAUAUUGAUUUAGUCAGCAAGGUUAAGCUGCAAAAUGAAUUAACACACUAAUUAUCACAAAGAAUAUGGAAAGAAAAAGAAGAGAAAACCACAGAACAUACAGAAAACAAAAAACACAUAAAAAAUUGCAUGAUAAAGAAUAAGGAUAUCACUAUCAGAUAGUGUUUGAGUUUCUGGUCUGGAAUCAUACGCCAUGCUUUGCUAUUCCUCAACACAUUUUAAGAAUUUUGACAUAGCCAAAGCAUUCAUGGCAUAUUGAUGUCCAGUAAUUUAUUGCUUUUGACUGUUAUGAAAUGGUACAUAUAUCAAUCUUAACCUUUCAUAUUUCCAAUUGGAAUAUGAACAAAAUAAAGACUCCAUGAAUUUACACUAGAAAUACAAAGAGCACCGAAGUUCCAAAAAAUAUGAAGUACAUUAAAUUGAUAUAUUCAAGAGACAUUAUGGUGGCUAAUUCAUUGCACAUCAUGUAAAUAUGGUCGAGUACUAUUUAUAAUUUAAAUGUAUAUUUACUUUUUUGCACAAAAAUAUUAUAGAAGUAAUGAGUGAUUGAAGGGUAAGAUCAUUCAAACUUUUGAUGGGCAAUUUAGUAAUUCAAGUUUGAACAUAGGGGGUUUCCCACUUUUAGUAUACUAGUUUCUGGGCACGUGUGUCGCAUAUAAACCAGUACAAAUUUUCUAAUAUAAAGUUAAUAUUAUUAAGACGUGUGCAUUAAGUAUUAUGCAAAAUUUGAACGAUGUAUGGUGUUGAACUUAAAAUGAUUGGAUAGGUACACAGAGUUAUAUUUAGUUAGGUUAGGCAUGUUUUAUAAUCAUAUUAAUUUUGAUCAUAUGAGGUAUGUACACACAUUACACAUACGAUGUUCUUGGUGUAUAUUUCAUUAUGAUUUGCUUUGUCAUAAUCACAACUAUUGUUUUCGACAUUAAUAUUCCGAUUAAAAGUAAAAUAAUUCGUAUAUAUUAUAUUUUUCUGAAAAAUGUAAGUCAUAUGUUAGUGAAAAGUAACUAACAAGAAUAAAACAGAUCAAAAAGAAAAGAAAAGAAUUUUCAGCAGUUGUACAAAGUGAUACAAAAAUUACGUAAAAAUAUAUAUGAUUUGCAUAGAUAAAUUGGCCGGCCAUACCUGGACCCAAAAAUAAAAAAGAAAAACCAAUAUAGUGAGUAUAAUUAGUAAACUUUUCUCAAAAGUAGUGCAUUUGUUUUACUUCUAUUAAACAUGAGGAUUAAGUGAAAUAGAUUAUCAAAAAUUAAAUGAAUAUACCUGUUUUGACUGUUGCAAAAUAGCUCUUCUAUUGCAAGAGCUCUUCUCUUUUGUUUCUUGACUUCGAACGUUCUUCUCCUCCGCAUGCUUAACUUAAUUAUCACUGAGUUUGGAAUUUAAUGAUAUUUAGAGUCAUAUGCUGAUAUGCUACAUGAUAAUUAUUCAAAUGUGGUACACCACUUCCAUGGACAAAUGUGUUCCCCUUCUCUUUCUCCGCCCCUUUUUUAUCCAAAAACAUCAUUUACACUUGUAAAUACGUAAUCAAAAAGAAAAAUUAUCGAAUUUGUGUUGUAAAAAGUUACUGCUAUACUUGAAUGAGUAGAUAGUUUGCAGAUUGUUUGGUGAGGAUUAAACGGAAUUCUCGAGUGAAUGAACACCUUAAAAUUUGAUCUCAAGAAUAAGGGUACGUAGAAUUAUCUAAUCCGGUUUAUCAUUUCUCAAAGGGAAUCACAGCUUCUUGGUGAGCUGUAUAUGGUGUAAAGAAUAUGUUCAAACUUUUUAGUUGUAACACUUCUCAAAUCUAUAAAAGUUUCAAGACACGCUAAAUAUAGAUUAUAAUUUUUAUAAUCUUAAAUUAUACUUCUAUUAUGGAUUUAAACCCAUGUGAUUGAUUUUUUAGUUACUUUUCUAUUUAUAAAUAAUUGGAUAUACAAUUAGGGAAAUAUUAAUAAUUUUAAUAUUAUUACUUAUUAAAAGCAGGUAUAACCAAAUACUACUUAAGUCAAAAAGAAAAAGAAAAAAGAGAAGCACGUGCCAAGCUAAGCCCAUAAAGGGUUGUUGGACCAAAC
rnacentral:lncRNA from 1 species